rnacentral:rRNA from 2 species
UUGUCUCAAAGAUUAAGCCAUGCAUGUCUCAGUACAAGCCGCAUUAAGGUGAAACCGCGAAAGGCUCAUUAAAUCAGUUAUGGUUCCUUAGAUCGUACCCACACUUACUUGGAUAACUGUGGUAAUUCUAGAGCUAAUACAUGCAAACAGAGCUCCGACCGGAGACGGGAGGAGUGCUUUUAUUAGAUCAAAACCAAUCGGCGGCGGGCGCGUCCGCGCGUCCGUUCGCCGCUCUACCUGGUGACUCUGAAUAACUUUACGCUGAUCGCACGGUCUCGCACCGGCGACGCAUCUUUCAAAUGUCUGCCUUAUCAACUGUCGAUGGUAGGUUCUGCGCCUACCAUGGUCGUAACGGGUAACGGGGAAUCAGGGUUCGAUUCCGGAGAGGGAGCCUGAGAAACGGCUACCACAUCCAAGGAAGGCAGCAGGCGCGCAAAUUACCCACUCCCGGCACGGGGAGGUAGUGACGAAAAAUAACGAUACGGGACUCAUCCGAGGCCCCGUAAUCGGAAUGAGUACACUUUAAAUCCUUUAACGAGGACCAAUUGGAGGGCAAGUCUGGUGCCAGCAGCCGCGGUAAUUCCAGCUCCAAUAGCGUA